GUAGGGAAUAUUGGUCAAUGGACGAAAGUCUGAACCAGCCAUUCCGCGUGCAGGAAGAAGAUUCUAUGGAUUGUAAACUGCUUUUAGCAGAGAAGAAACGCCUUCAUUGAUGAGGGUUUGACGGUAUCUGCGGAAUAAGCACCGGCUAACUCCGUGCCAGCAGCCGCGGUAAUACGGGGGGUGCAAGCGUUAUCCGGAAUCACUGGGGUUAAAGGGUGCGUAGGCGGGAAAUUAAGUCAGUGGUGAAAGUCUGUUGCUUAACGAUAGAAUUGCCGUUGAUACUGAUUUUCUUGAAUUGGGUUGAGGUUAGCGGAAUGUGACAUGUAGCGGUGAAAUGCAUAGAUAUGUCAUGGAACACCAAUUGCGAAGGCAGCUAGCUGGGCCUUGAUUGACGCUGAGGCACGAAAGCGUGGGUAGCGAACAGGAUUAGAAACCCGUGUAGUCC
rnacentral:rRNA from 1 species